GUAAGAGCUGCAACAAUGCAACACCUGAUGCAUAUCCUGGGUGGUCCGAGUCAACGCUGUGAAAAUGACACUGUUGCCCCAACUACUGCUUGUGUUCCAGACGGUACCAAUUCUAGCACCAUAACCAUUCUUCUAGACACUCAAAUCAGAAGUCCAGACAUUUAUAUGGAAAGGCAGAUCGCAGAGAGUGGCACACUCCCAACUGACACUUCCCAAAUUGAGAGGAUUGGCACUGCCGGACUUAGAAAACUACUACCUGAUGGCUCACUUCGAGGCUAAUCAGCUGGAUGGCCUCAAGAGAAGACAAGGAGUGGGUGCGCCUGGAGGCAGACAGUAUACGAGGGGACCUCAGAG